rnacentral:rRNA from 1 species
AUGACAGAAUGCUUCAAUACGGUGCUCAAGGGUGUACAUGCAUUACCCGUGACGGCAAUAGUUCAAUACACAUUUGACAAGUUGAAUGAAUACUUUUUAAAGCACUCAAUGGAGACUGAUAAGCAGAUUGCUGGUGAGAACAAGGAUAAGCACAAGUACAAUUUCCCACCAAAGGUUGAAGAAUGGUUGGAAUUUCAAUCACGAAAGGCAGACUCCGAAGAAGCUGUACUAUAUGACGACAACGAGUGGAAGUAUGAGGUGAAAGAGCCCGGAGGAACCACAAACGAUGGCCGCCAACACGGAGGCCGGGCUUUCAAGGUCUCCCUAACACGGUGUGAUUGCAGCUGCAUGAGGCCGUCUUUGCUUCAUCUCCCAUGCUCGCACUUGUUAAAUGCAUCCCGGGUUAGGAAUGUGGACGUCAAUCACCCUCUUACCGUGAGGGAGUCCGAGUUCUCAAUCAUGACGGUAAAAAAUACAUGGACUCCACGGUUCCAGCCAUACUUGGACCAAUCACAAUGGCGGGAGUAUCAUGGAGUUCAACUAUGGCCGGACCCG